UACGUAGGGUCCAAGCGUUAUCCGGAAUCACUGGGCGUAAAGCGUGCGUAGGCGGGUGCUCAAGUGCAAUGCGAAAUCUUGGGGCUCAACCAUAAGACGGUAUUCCAUACUGGGUACCUAGAGGAAGGCAGAGGCAAGUGGAAUUACCGGUGUAGCAGUGAAAUGCGUAGAUAUCGGUAGGAACAUCAAUGGCGAAGGCAGCUUGCUGGGCAUUAUCUGACGCUAAGGCACGAAAGCGUGGGGAGCGAACAGG
rnacentral:rRNA from 1 species